CUGAACUGGUGCUACUGGAGCAUCCAUAGCUGGAGCCUGAUCCUGAGCUGGGGCAGCUCGUGGAUCUACAGGUGCUGUUGUCGCUGCUCUGCCUCUGCCACGACCAUGACCGCAUCCACGGCCUCUUGUGGCCACAACUGCUGGAACUAGUUGUCGUCCACCUUGUCCGGUAGUGCGUGUCCUCACCAUCUAUGAGAGAAUAAAAUAGUAGAAGUUUAGUGCUCGUAUCAACAAGUUCGCAUGACCAGAAUUUCAAGAAUAUGAAGCUUUUCCGAAAGGUUCUGCUGCCUCUCAAGGAUAAAUACAAAUGUCUCCGUACCGAUUUGUGAGACUCUACUAAUCCUGCUCAUGACUCAUGAGACCUAUGCAACCUAGGCUCUGAUACCAACUUAUCACAACCCUAACCCCGAACCCGGUCGUGAUGGUGCCUCUCGUGAAGACAAGGCCAGCCAAUUAUACCCAGUUCACUUUUUAAAGAAGUUAUUCAACAUAAAAGUAGUCUAAACAUGAGUUAAUAAUACUAAACAACGGAAGAUAUCGAUAACAAUGCGGAAAUGCCACACGACACAGCCCUGACCGGGGUGUCACAAUUCAUGAGGGUCUAUAGGAAAAUAAUACAAGUCUGCUAAAUCCAUAAACUAGUACAAAUGUUUGAAGGAGAAAUAAAAAUGAUAAAAGAGUAGAGACACAGGGCUGCGAAUGUCAACAACUACCUCGUAGUCUACGAACGCUCGCCUGAUACUGGAGGAAAUUAGCACUCAGGAGCAGAACCAGCUACGCCUGAAUCUGCACACAGGGUGCAGGGAGUAAAGUGAGUAGUCCAACUUAGUGAGUAACAAAUGUAAAUAUCGACUGAAAGUAAGAAAACACGUAAGGCACAAGGCAUUCUAUAAUGAAGCAGUAAAAUCAUUUGAAAACAGUAAAAUAGUGAAAAGUCAAGUAAAAUCCUCUUUCAACAAGUAAAUAAAUAAUUGACAAAAAGUUAAGAUAAAGUUAACAAAUAGAAGUUCGCCCCUCGGGCAUAAUAUCAACAAAUCCGCCCCUCAAGCAACAUCUGUGAACUAUGCCAGCCCUUCGGGCUCAAUCUCAGAACAAUACUAGCCCCUCGGGCUCAAUCUCACAUCACAAUGGGUACCCUCGCUCACUGGGGGUGUACAAUCUCCUGGAGGGGCCCCUUACGAUCUAAGCGUAAUAACAAACCAUCUCGUGGCAUCAAAACUAGGCCCUCGGCCUCAUAUCAAUCAAGCCACCUCGUGGCGUACAUAUCUUAAGCCCUCAACCUCAAAUCAGUAUUAGUGUUUUCUCACAACAUAGGCCCUCAACCUUACUCAGUCAAAAAUACUCACAAUCCCCUCAAGCAAUAGUAAAACAGUAUUUCUCAGCCCAAAACAUCAUUUAAAAUAUCAUUUAAGUCUUAAAACUGAGUAAACAUGACUGAGUAGUAAAUACAGUUGAAAAUAACAUGACUGAGUUCAAGCAAUGAAUCAAAACAGUGAGAAAAUAGUAAUAAAAAUCCGCGAAGGGUUCAAAUAGUUGGCACGAAGCCUAAAUAUGGAAAUCAACCCAAAUCAUAAUGACAACAAAUAAGUUUCAGUCAAAUAUGCGGUAAAAUCAUCAACCGGGAUGGACCAAGUCACAAUCCCCAAUAGUGCACGACCCCACGCCCGUCAUCCAGCGUGUGUCUCACCUGAAUAUAGCACUACGAUGUGCAAUCCGGGGUUUCAAACCCUCAGAGUAUCAUUUACAAUCAUUACUCACCUCGAAACGGCUAAAUCUCUAGCUUG
rnacentral:lncRNA from 1 species